AGCUUUGCCCUGUGCCAGUAUUGUAGCCAGUGAGAUUUAUCUGAGCCACAAUUAUUGCUAAUUCAAAACUUAUUUAGAGCAUACUUUAGUAAGAAUUUAAAGAUGCAAUCCAAGCCCAGAUUUUCAUGUUUUAUCAGUUUUAACAAAUUUUUGGUAAAUGGAAGGCUCU
ensembl:snRNA U4 U4 spliceosomal RNA